AGUGAACGCUGGCGGUAGGCCUAACACAUGCAAGUCGAACGGCAGCACAGUAAGAGCUUGCUCUUACGGGUGGCGAGUGGCGGACGGGUGAGGAAUACAUCGGAAUCUACUUUUUCGUGGGGGAUAACGUAGGGAAACUUACGCUAAUACCGCAUACGACCUACGGGUGAAAGCAGGGGAUCUUCGGACCUUGCGCGAUUGAAUGAGCCGAUGUCGGAUUAGCUAGUUGGCGGGGUAAAGGCCCACCAAGGCGACGAUCCGUAGCUGGUCUGAGAGGAUGAUCGGCCAAACGGGAACUAAAAAACGGUCAAGACUCCUACGGGAGGCAGCAGUGGGGAAUUUUGGACAAUGGGCGAAAGCCUGAUCCAGCCAUACCGCGUGGGUGAAGAAGGCCUUCGGGUUGUAAAGCCCUUUUGUUGGGAAAGAAAAGCAGCAGGUUAAUACCCCGCUGUUCUGACGGUACCCAAAGAAUAAGCACCGGCUAACUUCGUG
rnacentral:rRNA from 1 species